rnacentral:lncRNA from 1 species
CCUCUGCUAGGUGAAGUUCUGCAAGAAUUUUCUCUCUGAAUCCCCUUGAAACACCUGCUAUAUAUAAAGAACUUUUAUCUAAAUUUGCUUGAAGGCCUGAUACCUUUGAGAAUUGUUCAAAUUCUUCCAUCAAUAACUUCAUUGAGAUCUCAUCAGCUCUACAGCACAUCAAAAGAUCAUCUGCAAAGUACAUGUGUGUGAUUUGUAGUUUGGUGCAUUUGGGAUGGAAAUUAAAAUCUGGAUUCCUGCUUAGCUUCUUCAAAGAUCUAGUCAGAUACUCCAUGGCUAGAACAAACAAGUAGAGAGACAUUGGGUCCCCCUGUCUUAGUCAUUUCCUUGCUUCAAACUUGUUAGUCAAUCCUCCAUUUAUUAAAAGAGAGUAACUUACUGUGGAGACACAUUCCAUGGUUAGUACUACCAUUUUGUAAGGUACUCCAAAUUCAAGAAGUACUGCCUUUAGAAACUCCCAUUGCACAGUCAUAAGCCUUCCUAAUGUCUACUUUGAUCAUGCAUCUAGGAGACACUGCCUUUUGAGUAUAACCUUUGAUAAAUUCAUGUGCUAUAAUAACAUUAUCAUGUAUGUUUCUCCCCUUUAUGAAAGCAUACUGGGAAUGCCCAACCAAAUAAUCUACAACAAUUUUAAGCCUAUUAGUUAGAAUCUUAGUAAUGAUUUUUUACAAUGUUGAGCAGCAAACAAUGGGUCUAAAUUCUUUAACAUAGUUGGGAUUUUUCACUUUUUGAAUCAAUGUAACAGUUGUGCAGUUAAUCUCUUUUAAGAGUUUGCCAUUUUGGAAAAAUUGUUGCACUGCUUCCUCCCCACAAUUGGCCAAAACUCUUUAAAAAAUUCUUCAGGAUAACCAUCAAUACCUGGAGCCUUAUCAUUAGGUAGGUUCUGCACUAUCUGGCUGAUCUCCUCCUUUGUUACUGGAAAUAACAAGAAGUAUAUCUAUAUAUCCAAUGUCAUAAAUUUUGUUUUUGAUCCCAAUACAAAAACUUGUAUGUAUCUUCUUUAAGCUUUUGAUAACACUUUGGUAAAAUAGGUAUUUUUGUGUUGCUAAAGCUUAAAGAAGUAUAUCUAUAUAUCCAAUGUCAUAAAUUUUGCUUUUGAUCCCAAUACAAAAACUUGUGUAUAUCUUCUUUAAGCUUUUGAUAACACUUUGGUAAAAUAGGUAUUUUUGUUGUAUCCAUGUAACUAUUGAGUGAUAAAAUUAUGUUUAGUUCAUCGUCCAACAGUCAACCAAAACGCAUAUUUGAUGCUUCAUUUUUUUCGUAUUCAUAUCAUAACUCUUUAAAAAAAAAUUUUGUUCCAAGUAGAGUCUGAAAUGAUCAAUCCUUCCUGUAAAAAAAGAAAAUUCAUAACUCUUUAAAAAACAAUUUUGUUCCAAGUAGAGUUUGAAAUGAUCAUCCUUCCUGUAAAAAAAGAAAAAAAACACUUCUGUGUUCUCAAUUUUGAUGUAACAAAAAUAUGAAAUCCUCACAAAGAACGAAUAAAACAAACUUUAUACUAAAAAUUUUAACUGAAACGUAAAAUUUACAGAAAGACAGCGAGUUCUAAAAAUUAUACUAGAAUUGUAGGGGGCGCUCAAAUUGAGAACCCCUCCAAAAAUAGGCGUAUGCCACUAAAUGCAGCGCGCACACGGUAUUCUUUAGUAAAAGGCGAAAGAAUUGUUCGCUUUGUGCUCACUGCGUGGCUGCGUGAGUUAUACAAUG